UGAGGAUGGACGAUUCGCGCAAAACCGGGGUGUCUGCAGUUCCUUACUAAGGCAGACCUAGACCGGGUACCCGUUGUUGUGACGUGGAUGAUGAUGAUGAUAAAAGCUGUUUUUAUAUUUGAUCAGUUAAUUAUUAAAGUUUUUAGAACUUGAAAUCAUUUUUAAUCAAGAAACUGAAUGCAAGAACUGCGUGUUGCUGAACAUUUGGAGGACGAUGUAAAAAAGAAUGAAGGAACAAAAGAAUGUCCUUGCUUACCAUAGUGUCCUAUUAAAGAGGUUAUCGGAGAAGGCUUUCCCGUGGAGGAUAGAAUUCCGUUAUUUGCUUUAAAAAACAUACAAACCUGCUUGACCUCGGUAAAAACGUCGAAAAAAUAUCAAGGGAGGAAAUGAUUCUCACCUUAAAAAAAUGGUAGACAAGAGCAAAAUAUCGAAAUGUAUGGAUCUCUUCAUUCGUGAAGAACUUUUGAUGAAAGUGAAUUGGGAUAGAGUAAAAUGUCUGUCAGCUUCAAAACAAUUUCGUAUUUUUUACACCCUUCUUUCCGAGGCUGUAAAGUCAGAAAAUGUUUGUACCGGGAAUACAAAGAUGACAUGCGGAAAGGCUCCAGGGUUUCAAGGGGCGCGUACAAAAAAUUAUGUGAC